rnacentral:rRNA from 1 species
UACGUAGGGGGCAAGCGUUAUCCGGAUUUACUGGGUGUAAAGGGAGCGUAGACGGCUGUGCAAGCCAGAUGUGAAAGCCCGGGGCUCAACCCCGGGACUGCAUUUGGAACUGUGUAGCUGGAGUGUCGGAGAGGCAGGCGGAAUUCCUAGUGUAGCGGUGAAAUGCGUAGAUAUAUGGAGGAACACCGGUGGCGAAAGCGGCUCUCUGGCCUGUAACUGACACUGAGGCUCGAAAGCGUGGGGAGCAAACAGG